rnacentral:rRNA from 1 species
UGGGGGAUAUUGCACAAUGGGCGCAAGCCUGAUGCAGCGACGCCGCGUGGGGGAUGAAGGCCUUCGGGUUGUAAACUUCUUUUGCUCUGAACAAGGCGCACUUUGGGGUGUGUUGAGUGUAGGGGUUGAUUAGCGCCGGCUAACUACGUGCCAGCAGCCGCGGUAAUACGUAGGGCGCGAGCGUUGUCCGGAAUUAUUGGGCGUAAAGGGCUUGUAGGUGGCUGGUUGCGUCUGUCGUGAAAGCUCAUGGCUUAACUGUGGGUUUGCGGUGGGUACGGGCUGGCUUGAGUGCAGUAGGGGAGGCUGGAAUUCCUGGUGUAGCGGUGGAAUGCGCAGAUAUCAGGAGGAAUACCGGUGGCGAAGGCGGGUCUCUGGGCUGUUACUGACACUGAGGAGCGAAAGCGUGGGGAGCGAACAGG